rnacentral:rRNA from 1 species
UACGGAGGAUGCGAGCGUUAUCCGGAUUUAUUGGGUUUAAAGGGUGCGUAGGCGGAAGUUCAAGUCAGCGGUAAAAUCGAGGGGCUCAACCCCUUUAAGCCGUUGAAACUGGGUUUCUUGAGUGGGCGAGAAGUGUGCGGAAUGUGUGGUGUAGCGGUGAAAUGCAUAGAUAUCACACAGAACUCCGAUUGCGAAGGCAGCACACCGGCGCCCAACUGACGCUGAGGCACGAAAGCGUGGGGAUCAAACAGG